rnacentral:rRNA from 1 species
UUCUUUAAGUUUUAAUUUAAAGUACAACCUGCUCAAUGUAAAUUAUAAAUAGCCGCAGAAUUUUCUGUGCUAAGGUAGCAUAAUCAUUAGCUUUUUAAUUUAAAGAUAGAAUGAAAGGUUAAACGAAAUAAAAACUGUCUCAUCAAUUAAUAUUAUAUUUUAUAUAAAGUAAAAAUACUUUUGUUAACAAGAAGGACGACAAGACCCUGAUAAACUUACUAUUUAACUGGGGCGGUAAUUUAAACAAACCUUAUCAUUUUUUAAUAUAAAAACAAUUAUAUUACAAAUAUCAACUAAUCAGUUACUUCAGGGAUAACAGCGCAACCUUUUUUUAAAGAACAUAUACAAAAAACUUACUACGACCUCGAUGUUGAAUUAAUUAAUCUAUUUCAUGCAUAAAUGAAAAAAGUUAGUCUGUUCGACUAUUUAAUAAUUACGUGAUCUGAGUUCA